rnacentral:tRNA from 1 species
UAAAAAUUAGUUAAUUUAUAACGUAAGCUUGUCAAGCUUAAAUUAUUAGAAACCUAAUAUUUUUAA